rnacentral:lncRNA from 1 species
NNNNAGGAGAGGAGAGGAGAGGACCGUGAGGAGAGGAAAGGAAAGGAAAGGAAAGGAAAGGAAAGGAUAGGAAAGGAAAGGAAAGGAAAGGAAAGGAAAGGAAAGGAAAGGAAAGGACAGGAAAGGAAACGAAAGGAAAGGAAAGGAAAGGAAAGGAAAGGAAAGGAAAGGAAAGGAAAGGAAAGGAAAGGAAAGGAAAGGAAAGGAAAGGAAAGGAAAGGAAAGGACAGGAAAGGAGAGGAAAGGAGAGCAAAGGAGAGCAAAGGCAAGGAAAGGAAAGGAAAGGCAAGCAGAGCAAAGGAGAGGAACGGAGAGGAAAGGAGAGGAAAGCAGAGGAAAGCAGAGGAAAGGAGAGGCAAGGAGAGGAAAGGAGAGGAAAGGAGAGCCAAAGGAGAGGAAAGCAGACCAAACGAGAGCAAAGGAGAGGAAAGGAGAGGAAAGGAAAGGAAAGGAAAGGAAAGGAAAGGAAAGGAAAGGAAAGGAAAGGAAAGGAAAGGAAAGGAAAGGAAAGGAAAGGAAAGCCUAGAUCUUCUUUGCAUGUCCCCAUUUUUGGUCUGGGUUCUGCUCUGGGGCACCAGUCAGAAUCUCUUCAGACACUUGAAGCCAGCUAGCAUGGCCCCUGUUGAGCUCUUUUCUCCAAAGGCAACACUUCUCCCAGCAUCUUCAUCUCACCCUUUGACGACAAGACCUUGGGUCUGUUCACCAGUCUGGUUGCUCCCCCUCGGCCUCUGUCCAGCUUCUCAGUGCCAUCCUUGAAUUGAAGGUUAGAACUAAAGGCAGCCCUCUGGAAGAGCCCAACCAGGAGAGAAGAUGUGAGGAUUUGGGCCCCCCCAAUGAAAGGAUUUGGGGGAUCACUGGGGUGGGGGAAGUCACUCAGGGUGAAGUAGAUGCUGGCAAGGGCGCCAUUCCUGCUGUACUCCUUUAAGGCCCUGAGCACAGAAAUGGAGAGAAAUGCGCCCCAAGAGGAAUGUGACGGGUAGGAAGCUUUGUAUGUUUGGCUUAGAAAAGCAAUGCAGACCUUCUAUCUUUAACUG